CCUACGGGAGGCUGCAGUGAGGAAUAUUGGUCAAUGGACGAGAGUCUGAACCAGCCAAGUAGCGUGAAGGAUGACUGCCCUAUGGGUUGUAAACUUCUUUUAUAUGGGAAUAAAAUGUUCCACGUGUGGGAUUUUGUAUGUACCAUAUGAAUAAGGAUCGGCUAACUCCGUGCCAGCAGCCGCGGUAAUACGGAGGAUCCGAGCGUUAUCCGGAUUUAUUGGGUUUAAAGGGAGCGUAGGUGGAUUGUUAAGUCAGUUGUGAAAGUUUGCGGCUCAACCGUAAAAUUGCAGUUGAUACUGGCAGUCGUGAGUACAGUAGAGGUGGGCGGAAGUCGUGGUGUAGCGGUGAAAUGCUUAGAUAUCACGAAGAACUCCGAUUGCGAAGGCAGCUCACUGGACUGCAACUGACACUGAGGCUCGAAAGUGUGGGUAUCAAACAGGAUUAGAUACCCCUGUAGUC
rnacentral:rRNA from 1 species